rnacentral:rRNA from 1 species
UACAGAGGUCUCAAGCGUUGUUCGGAUUCAUUGGGCGUAAAGGGUGCGUAGGCGGCGCGGUAAGUCGGGUGUGAAAUCUCGGAGCUUAACUCCGAAACUGCAUUCGAUACUGCGGUGCUUGAGGACUGGAGAGGAGACUGGAAUUUACGGUGUAGCAGUGAAAUGCGUAGAUAUCGUAAGGAAGACCAGUGGCGAAGGCGGGUCUCUGGACAGUUCCUGACACUGAGACACGAAGGCCAGGGGAGCAAACGGG